UCUCACUGGGAGAUGCUAGAGUCUUUCUACACGGCCUUUCCCACCUCUCCGGCUUCCCUCUCUGGCCGCUGCCCUGAGCCCGCCCUCGGUCGGCCCACAGGACAGCCACCACCCCCUGGGGCCCGUCACCCCCUCCCCGUCUCACCUGGCUUCCUGCCUUCGCUCCGACGCCGGUGUCGGACCAGGAGGAGGACGAGGAGGCUGAGCAGCAGGACGAAGGCCACUGAGACCCCGAUGAGGACGUACAGGAAUGGAAGCAAAAUAAAGUCAUUCUUAGAAGAAGAAACAUGGGGAGAAUUUGUUGCCAGCAGCUCUGCUCUACCAGAAAUGAUAAGAGUCCCGCUGGUAUGGUGGUGGGGCAACUCUACUCCGAAACGUCACCCCGCCCAGACACGACCCAGGCCACAAAGCUGUUGAUGACCACCGAAGAGACCACCUGUUGUGUUACAGGCCCGAACACGGCAUUAAUCUCGUUGAACAUCCCAUCAGAGCUCCUGGGUCACCAGGUGCAUUGUCAGGAUGGGUGUUGGGUACAGGCCUGAACACGGCAUUAAUCUCGUUGAACAUCCCAUCAGAGCUCCUGGGUCACCAGGUGCAUUGUCAGGAUGGGUAUUGUGUUACAGGCCUGAACACAGCGUUAAUCUCGUUGAAAAUCCCGUCAGAGUUCCUGGGUCACCAGGUGCAUUGUCAGGAUUGCUGUUGUAUUACAGGCCGGAACACGGCAUUAAUCUCGUUGAACAUCGCAUCAGAGCUCCUGGGUGACCAGGUGCAUUGUCAGGAUGGGGUGUUGUGUUACAGGCCCAAACACGGCAUUAAUCUCGUUGAACAUCCCUCAGAGCUCCUGGGUCACCAGGUGCAUUGUCAGGAUGGGUGUUGUGUUACAGGCCCGAACACGGCAUUAAUCUCAUUGAAAAUCCCAUCAGAGCUCCUGGGUGACCAGGUGCAUUGUCAGGAUGGCUGUUGUGUUAAAGGCCCAACCACGGCAUU